rnacentral:SRP_RNA from 1 species
CGCACUAGUCGGGGAGUUAGCGGUGCCCUGUACCUGCAAUCCGCUAAAGCAGGGAUGAAUUCCCACACCCGAGUAAGCUUUUGUGCCGUCUGGCCUGUGUAAGUGGUGUUGAUAGAUCGGUCUUGCGCAACGGGAUCCCGUGAACCAUGUCAGGUGGGGAACCAAGCAGCAUUAAGCGGACCUUCCCGUGUGCCGCUAAGGCCUCCGAUCUUGAGCCGGCUGCACAGAUACCGGA